UCUCUCUUUGUUCGGUCAUGGCCAUGGGGACCUAGGCCGACAGCCAAUGGCAGCGCCCGAUGCCAACUGAGACGCAACCCCAGCAGCGGUCAUAACCACCGGUGGUCGGGAAAACAAAAGAAGGAAUCAAGGGAACAGGGAAGACCCUAUUCACAAUACACUUGGUGGCUCAUCGAUCAGAUCUGGUGACGAUGAUGUUAGAAAAAGGAGG
rnacentral:lncRNA from 1 species